CCUACGGGAGGCAGCAGUGGGGAAUAUUGGACAAUGGGGGGAACCCUGAUCCAGCCAUGCCGCGUGUGUGAAGAAGGCCCUCGGGUUGUAAAGCACUUUCAGUGAGGAAGAACGCCUGGUGGUUAAUACCCAUCAGGAAAGACAUCACUCACAGAAGAAGCACCGGCUAACUCCGUGCCAGCAGCCGCGGGAAUACGGAGGGUGCGAGCGUUAAUCGGAAUUACUGGGCGUAAAGCGCGCGUAGGUGGCUUGAUAAGCCGGUUGUGAAAGCCCCGGGCUCAACCUGGGAACGGCAUCCGGAACUGUCAAGCUAGAGUGCAGGAGAGGAAGGUAGAAUUCCCGGUGUAGCGGUGAAAUGCGUAGAGAUCGGGAGGAAUACCAGUGGCGAAGGCGGCCUUCUGGACUGACACUGACACUGAGGUGCGAAAGCGUGGGUAGCAAACAGGAUUAGAUACCCUAGUAGUC
rnacentral:rRNA from 1 species